UACGUAGGUGGCAAGCGUUGUCCGGAUUUACUGGGCGUAAAGAGCGCGCAGGCGGUCGAUUAAGUCGAAUGUGAAAGCCCCCGGCUCAACUGGGGAGGGUCAUUCGAUACUGAUCGACUUGAAGGCAGGAGAGAGAAGUGGAAUUCCCGGUGUAGCGGUGGAAUGCGUAGAGAUCGGGAAGAACAUCAGUGGCGAAGGCGGCCUGCUGGGCUGUUGCUGACGCUGAGGCGCGACAGCGUGGGGAGCAAACAGG
rnacentral:rRNA from 1 species